UACGGGGGAGCAAGCGUUGUUCGGAUUUACUGGGCGUAAAGGGCGCGUAGGCGGCCACCGCAAGUCGACUGUGAAAUCUCCGGGCUUAACCCGGAAAGGUCAGCCGAUACUGCGGGGCUAGAGUGCAGAAGGGGCAACUGGAAUUCUCGGAUGUAGCGGUGAAAUGACGUAGAUAUCGAGAGGAACACCUGCGGCGAAGGCGGGUUGCUGGCUGACACUGACGCUGAGGCGCGAAAGCUAGGGAGCGAACGGG
rnacentral:rRNA from 1 species